rnacentral:lncRNA from 1 species
CCAUCGUCACCAACCCUGCCGUCAACCGAGCCACCCGCCGUUGCUCCUUCUACCAUCACCAUCCACGGCGCCGUCCCUGCCGCCGUCGGCAUAUGCAUCCCCGCCGUUGCCCGAGCUACCGUCGCCAUAUGCAUCCCUGCCGUCACCGCUGCCGCCAUCACCUCUGCCACCGUCGCCAACCCCGCCAUCGCCCUAGCAACCCGACGUCACCCCUUCCAACAUCACCGUCACCGCCGUCGCCCCUCCAACAGCUGCCAACCCCACCGGUGCCUGAGCCAUCGUCACCAACCCUGCCGUCAACCGAGCCACCCGCCGUUGCUCCUUCUACCAUCACCAUCCACGGCGCCGUCCCUGCCGCCGUCGGCAUAUGCAUCCCCGCCGUUGCCCGAGCUACCGUCGCCAUAUGCAUCCCUGCCAUCACCGCUGCCGCCAUCACCUCUGCCACCGUCGCCAACCCCGCCAUCGCCCUAGCAACCCGACGUCACCCCUUCCAACAUCACCGUCACCGCCGUCGCCCCUCCAACAGCUGCCAACCCCACCGGUGCCUGAGCCAUCGUCACCAACCCUGCCGUCAACCGAGCCACCCGCCGUUGCUCCUUCUACCAUCACCAUCCACGGCGCCGUCCCUGCCGCCGUCGGCAUAUGCAUCCCCGCCGUUGCCCGAGCUACCGUCGCCAUAUGCAUCCCUGCCAUCACCGCUGCCGCCAUCACUUCUGCCACCGUCGCCAACCCCGCCAUCGCCCUAGCAACCCGACGUCACCCCUUCCAACAUCACCGUCACCGCCGUCGCCCCUCCAACAGCUGCCAACCCCACCGGUGCCUGAGCCAUCGUCACCAACCCUGCCGUCAACCGAGCCACCCGCCGUUGCUCCUUCUACCAUCACCAUCCACGGCGCCGUCCCUGCCGCCGUCGGCAUAUGCAUCCCCGCCGUUGCCCGAGCUACCGUCGCCAUAUGCAUCCCUGCCGUCACCGCUGCCGCCAUCACCUCUGCCAC